UAGGGAAUCUUCCGCAAUGGGCGAAAGCCUGACGGAGCAACGCCGCGUGAGUGAUGAAGGUCUUCGGAUCGUAAACUCUGUUAUUAGGGAAGAACAAAUGUGUAAGUAACUAUGCACGUCUUGACGGUACCUAAUCAGAAAGCCACGGCUAACUACGUGCCAGCAGCCGCGGUAAUACGUAGGUGGCAAGCGUUAUCCGGAAUUAUUGGGCGUAAAGCGCGCGUAGGCGGUUUUUUAAGUCUGAUGUGAAAGCCCACGGCUCAACCGUGGAGGGUCAUUGGAAACUGGAAAACUUGAGUGCAGAAGAGGAAAGUGGAAUUCCAUGUGUAGCGGUGAAAUGCGCAGAGAUAUGGAGGAACACCAGUGGCGAAGGCGACUUUCUGGUCUGUAACUGACGCUGAUGUGCGAAAGCGUGGGGAUCAAACAGG
rnacentral:rRNA from 1 species